GCGGGGGGCGCGUGUGGAGCUGGUGGCGUCCGCCGGGCCCGGGUAGUUGCACGUGGGCAGCCCGGCGCGCUGGAGGAAGGGGCCCGAGUGGAGGAGGAUCGGGGCCUCGGGGGUCCAGACCCACACACCUGUCAGCAGCUUGGCCUCCAGCGGCGGCUCCUGCAGGCGGACUCAGGCUCAUUCUCACGCGGGUCUUUCCUCUUGCUGCCUUCCUGUGUCCUGGCUCCAUUAGUCUUCCCGGAGCUCUGGACUCCGCUGACCCGUGAGGGGAGCGAGCCGUGUUCUGGAAACUGGGUGGCCGGGACAGUAAGGGCCUCUACCCCCAGGAAGCCUGGAGCUGCUGCACUCAUUCAUUCCGCGUUUGCUGACCCGCUCCCCAGUGCUGUGCCGGGUGCAGGAGAUCCAGUAGGGGAAGGACUGGCAAGGCCCCGUCUGUCCGGGCCUCACAGCCCAGUAGGGAAGCUCAGGUAACAGGCCAGACCGUGCCAUUCUGACAGUACUGCAGACGUGAGGACAAUGAAGUCCGACAUUGCUGUGGUGACCAGAGGAAGAGCUCAAGCUGGUUCUGCCUGAGCUGAGGCAUGAGCCCGCGGUGCUCCAGGCUACCAGAGAGAGAGAGACCCAGAGGUCGGUAGAGCUGGACACCAGGUUGGACGACUCCCUUCAGUGGAAAGCCUUGAAGAGUCAGGAGAGUAAAAGAGAAGGGAGAGAUGGGCAGGGGACCAUGGAAGGAAGAGAGGUGGACAGCCAUGUAAAGAGAUCUGGAAGAUCUUCCCUGCCCACUGUGUCUUGUGAAAAGGAAACAACCGGUGGUGUUAACAGGGCUGACUCAUGGAAAGUGAAAUGAUGGAGCACAUUUGAUUUGGAGACAGAAGUCAUAAAGUCUUGUCUGUGCCUCGCCAUAUGCCAGCUGUGUGAUUCCAGGCAAGUCUGCUUCCAAAUAUUCCCUGGUCCUGGGCACUGUUAUAUGGAAAUAAGUUGUCUCUUGUGUGGUAUAUGUGCUGGCCUUGUGGGUCUCUGGUAACAGGGUAUAGCAUAUGUAAAGGGUAUUUUUUAGUGGGUAGACAAGUUUA